GAUGAACGCUGGCGGCGUGCCUAAUACAUGCAAGUCGAGCGAACGGACGAGAAACUUGCUUCUCUGAUGUUAGCGGCGGACGGGUGAGUAACACGUGGAUAACCUACCUAUAAGACUGGGAUAAAUUCGGGAAACCGGAGCUAAUACCGGAUAAUAUUUUGAACCGCAUGGUUCAAAAGUGAAAGACGGUCUUGCUGUCACUUAUAGAUGGAUCCGCGCUGCAUUAGCUAGUUGGUAAGGUAACGGCUUACCAAGGCAACGAUGCAUAGCCGACCUGAGAGGGUGAUCGGCCACACUGGAACUGAGACUAAGUCCUGACUCCUAAGGGGAGCCGCAGUAGGGCAAUGUCCGCCAUGGGCGUAAGCCUGACGGAGCCACGCCGCGCGAGUGACUCAGGCCCCCGGAUCGUAAAGCUUUGUUACUAGGGAAAAACCUAUCUGUAAGAACAUGGUCAUAUCUUGAAGGUACCUAAUCAGAGAGCGCCGGCUAACUACGUC
rnacentral:rRNA from 1 species